rnacentral:lncRNA from 1 species
UUGCUUAUUCAGAUAAAUGUAGGCAGUCUAUCUGCAUCAAAAUACUUUGGUUCAAUAAAUCGAGAAAUAUUUGAACUAUCGUUGGUAGAAUCCUUUCAUAUAGAUCAAAUCACACUGAUCUUCCUCUCAGUUAGGAUUUACUCUAAUCUCUCAACCCCUUAUUUCUGUUACUUGACUCACUUCUCCGACCCAGACACCCUGGUCACCCAAAAAAUAAGGAAAAUGGAAAAAUCAGCACUAGAAGACUGCAUGUCACCUGAUGAAGCUACUUUACAUGCGGAAACUUAGAAGGUAUUUGCUUUGACACACACACACACACACACACACACACACACACACAAGGGAAUUACUGAUAUUAAAUCUAUCCAUUUCUACACUAACAGCAACAGGAAGGAUUUAUAUGGAGCUUAAUUCCAUAUUUUGCCCGUAAAAUUUGUCAUAACAAGCAAUAAGACCAAAAUAAUUAAUGGAUGGAAAAUCUUUUACUGACUCAGUGCAGUGUUUGACCACUAAGAACAAAAGGUCACAAAGUAAGUAAAAUAUAUUUUAAAAAAAUAAAAAACUAUUGUGAGGAAAAAAAAUUCAAAAUCUGUGCUAGGAAACUGAAACAAAGAAUAUAGAAAAUAAUUGCAAAAGCCCCUGAACGGUGGAAGUUCUACAAAAUUAAACAUAAAGAUUUCACAAUUGCCUAAUAAUGCUGCCCCCAUUUUGAUCAAUUUCCCAAAAUAAAUCCCUGCCCCUAUUUUGAUCAAGUUCACAAAAUAAAUCACACAAUAUAUUGAAUAUAAAAUUUAUAAUAAAUAAUAUUAUCUCCUGUGAUAUUCAUCAGAAAUAACCUAAACUCCAAAAUUCACACAACACACCGUAAAAUCCCAGAAAAGUAAACUACUUGUUCUGGUUCACAAAUGAACUCGCUGAUGACCACAGUUACAAAAAAUAUAUAAUAAUAAUAAUAAUAAAAAAUAAAAAAUAAUAAUCAUAGUCCAGGAGUAUACAGAUUACCAAGAGAGAAUUUCCAGAUAAUGAGAUACAGAAUACAAACUAAUAUUUGUAAAAUUGCAAAGUUAAGGAAGAAAAAAGAGUGAAUUACCACUGGUGGCGUUGCAGAGAGAGUGAGGGGUUCUGAGUUUUAAGUUCAUGAUGCACUGCCACGUAUGACCAUAAAAAAUAUUUUAUUAGGAAUCCUUUCAGAUGGCAUGCAGACAAAAAAAAUAUCAUUUGUUUAAGAAUUUACAAAUACUUUAUCAUGUGGCAUCUUAAUGGAAUAGAAGAUCAGGUUAGAAUUUACAAAUACUUUAUCGUGCGUUGCACAUGCAGUGGGUAUUGCAGUGUAAAUAAUAAUGUUGAAAUUUUAUCAUGUGGCAUCUUAAUGGAAAAGAAGAUCAGGUUAGAAGGAUGAUUACAUUAUUAGAUUAUAAAAUAUUUGUCCACAAGUAGUUACAUUGGCAAAAGUAGUAUGAAGUACAAAACAGAGUUCUUAGGUGCCAUACACAGAGAUGUUACAUGCCGUUCAUGGGUACAUGGUUUCUAACAUGUUAAUAUGGACAACAGACAAAAUUCAGUAUGGCAAAUAGAGAUACUGUGAAUCAGGUUUGCUCGACUGUGGACAUAAGCGUGCAAAAGAAAUACAAAAUAUGUAUUUUUACGUCCUGAACAACUACUCUUGCGUUUGUUUUUUGUUUGCAUGGUUGUGAGCUUCAUGUGAAGUGCCUGGUUGUAUGAUGUUGGUGAGUAACUGGUCGUCAUCUUGGAGGUGUGAGUCAAUGAUGAAGAUGACUUCAUAUGGUGCCUUGUUGGUGGUUGUCUCCAUAGUUACAGUUUUGAUGUAUAUGAUGUGCUCAUUUGCAGUUGGUGGUGGUAUUGUAGCUGCUUUCCAUAUGUUCUUGCUGUGAUGUUCAUUAGAAGUAGUUAAUAGUAUAUUUAUUGGAAAGAAAAGAUUAGUAGGCAGGAAAAUAUAAUUUUGAGAUAGUUACCUCAGAAUCUUGUUUCAUCGGUUUCGUUGCUAGGCAUUUGAGGAAUGUUUCAGCUGGUUUUCCAAUAAUUGAUGCUGUGAUUGAUCCUGUAGAGUCCUGCAAUUGAAAGACUACUCUUGCUCUGUUAGAGUACAAGUGGAAUCAUUGUUAGUGUUUUGAGAUGUAUUUGAUUAUCAUUAGAUGAUGAAUAAUGCAUCUAUUCGCAUAGAUGAUGUACUUGUGACUUGAAUAUAAUCUGACCUUAGAAUUGGUGUAGCAUAGUUGUGCUUGCAGAAUCUACAGAAAUAAGUUUCGUUCACAGCUCCACUUGCAGAUUUGUUGCAAUUGUCACAUGAUGGAUCCCAUAGUGGUUGGUUUAUUUCAGCCAAUGUGACAUUUUCUCUUGUCCAGAAGUGUCGUUUCUGCAAUGUAUAUAAUAACAUGUGUAAGAAAAAUAUGUGUUGGGGAUAGAUGUAGAAUGUAAAUGAGAAGGUAUAGUGAUUUGGUGUACCAUAUGUUGGAGUUGUUGAAGUUGUUUGAUGUUGACUAACUUUUCUUCUGGUGGGCAAGAAAUUGUGGUGGAUGUGGGGAAGAUAUACGCCUUUCUUGUCAUGAUGUAAUUUACUGUGCUCAUGUUGUCCUUUAACCUGAUGUUGAUGUGAAAAUGAAAUUGUUAGAAGUAAAUAAGGAAAUUAAGAGUAAUAAUUACAAUAGAUGUAAGUAUGUAAGUGGAAAAGUGAAAGAAUGUACCAACGCUUUAGUUCAAGAACUUGCUCAAAUGGGGGAUUAAUGAGUAUUGAUGAGUUGAUUUUUGUAGAGACGGAUAUACCUAAAUAGAGAGUGAAUUGAGUUUUUACAUGUAAGGUUUAAAAUCAUGUCAGUAUGAUUGUGUACAAGGAGUUAAUUUACCAUUGAAAGAAGUUACUCUUAAUUUGUUGCUCACGACAAUUGGUUUUUUGGUGAUUGUGUUGUGGAUGGUAUUACAUUCAUUUGUGAUGAAAUUGUCCCACAUCUGAAGCAUGCGUGUUUCAAACCUGUAAAGUUUCAAAUUAUAUUUAAUAUGUAAUAAAUAAAAGAGUUAUUUUGGGGCUGACAAUAGUAAAUGUGUGACAAAAGUAAAUGUUUUAUCGUUCGUUCAUGAGAAUAACAUCUUGUACUGUUGAUUAGUUGUCACGAAUUUGAAUUACUCUUUUAGGGAAGAUGUCGACUGCUAUUCCAGUGAUGCCCACGAGAAAUAAUAUGGGUUAGUAAUAAGUGUAGGUUGUAAUUUAUGUUUGAGAUAGAAGCAAUGAAGUGUAAGGUAUUAAUGGGAUUGCAAAUACUUACUGAUUUCUGCAUUUGUAUCCAUGUAGGCUGAAGAUCUCCGAAUCAUAUGAACUUGUAAGCUGAUGAAAGGAGGUUAACAAUUGUUCGUUGACUUCAACAACGUUGGUUUUUGCACUGAUUGUCCAUCGGAUGUCACCAAAUUGGGCUCUAUAAUUUGUAUCUGUUUCUUUAACUUGUGCAUUUGAGACGAGGUAUGUCUUGUGUGGUAGUAAGGUAUCUUCGAAAGCUGUGAUAGAGC